UUUCCGUAGGUGAACCUGCGGAAGGAUCAUUAUUCUAUAACCGAGGUGCGGGGUCUGUCGCUGACCCGAACGGUCGUCCGCGCCGAAGUGCCCUAAGAUACAUCCAUCUCAACCCUAUGCGCACCACCGCGCGGCUCCCCCGGUGGCUUGUUGGUAGGAGGCCUGACGCUUUCUUACAAACUUUGAAUGCAGUGUAGAAGGUAUUUUAUGUUUUUGCUGUCACGCAAUGAAUCAAACUUUCAACAACGGAUCUAUUGGCUCUGCCAUAGUUGUGGAACG
rnacentral:misc_RNA from 1 species